CAAAGAGUAGUUUGAUCAGGAUGCUAGCUUUGGGAGUUAGUGGCAGGGGUGGAAGUCCCUUCUCUUUGA
rnacentral:tRNA from 1 species